GACGAACCGUGCAAACGUUAUUCGGAAUCACUGGGCAUAAAGGGCGCGUAGGCGGCUCCAAAAGUCAGGGGUGAAAUCCGGCAGCUUAACUGUCGCAGUGCCUUUGAUACUGUGGAGCUAGAGGGAGGUAGGGGUCUGUGGAACUUCCGGUGGAGCGGUGAAAUGCGUUGAUAUCGGAAGGAACGCCGGUGGCGAAAGCGACGGACUGGAUCUCUUCUGACGCUGGGGCGCGAAAGCCAGGGGAGCAAACGGG
rnacentral:rRNA from 1 species